AAUAAGCAACCGGUCAUAGGAUUCUAUGUCUGUCCUAUUGCGGUUUGGUGGGAACUAUCACCAUAUAUCAAGAGCUAGGUUUCCUUGGAAGGAAAUGGAGGUCCUCCCUGUACAGUGUGGCAUGCUUUGUGCCUCGGUUUGUUCACAUCAAUCAUAGCACCUUUCAGUGAGUCUUUUCUUCUAGCGGGGUUUUGAAAGAGCGUUCAAAAUCAAUGACUUUGAUGAUAGUAUUCCAGGACAUGGUGAGAUCACAGAAAGAAUGGAUUGCGAGGUA